rnacentral:rRNA from 1 species
GACGAACGCUGGCGGCGUGCCUAAUACAUGCAAGUCGAGCGAGCUUGCCUAGAUGAUUUUAGUGCUUGCACUAAAUGAAACUAGAUACAAGCGAGCGGCGGACGGGUGAGUAACACGUGGGUAACCUGCCCAAGAGACUGGGAUAACACCUGGAAACAGAUGCUAAUACCGGAUAACAACACUAGACGCAUGUCUAGAGUUUGAAAGAUGGUUCUGCUAUCACUCUUGGAUGGACCUGCGGUGCAUUAGCUAGUUGGUAAGGUAACGGCUUACCAAGGCAAUGAUGCAUAGCCGAGUUGAGAGACUGAUCGGCCACAUUGGGACUGAGACACGGCCCAAACUCCUACGGGAGGCAGCAGUAGGGAAUCUUCCACAAUGGACGAAAGUCUGAUGGAGCAACGCCGCGUGAGUGAAGAAGGGUUUCGGCUCGUAAAGCUCUGUUGGUAGUGAAGAAAGAUAGAGGUAGUAACUGGCCUUUAUUUGACGGUAAUUACUUGGAAAGUCACGGCUAACUACGUGCCAGCCGCCGCCGUAACAC